AUUGAGCGCUGGCGGCAUGCCUUACACAUGCAAGUCGAACGGCAGCACGGGAGCAAUCCUGGUGGCGAGUGGCGAACGGGUGAGUAAUGUAUCGGAACGUGCCCAGUCGUGGGGGAUAACGUAGCGAAAGCUACGCUAAUACCGCAUGCGAUCUAUGGAUGAAAGCGGGGGAUCGCAGGACCUCGCGCGAUUGGAGCGGCCGAUAUCAGAUUAGGUAGUUGGUGGGGUAAAGGCUCACCAAGCCGACGAUCUGUAGCUGGUCUGAGAGGACGACCAGCCACACUGGGACUGAGACACGGCCCAGACUCCUACGGGAGGCAGCAGUGGGGAAUUUUGGACAAUGGGCGAAGCCUGAUCCAGCAAUGCCGCGUGCAGGAUGAAGGCCUUCGGGUUGUAAACUGCUUUUGUACGGAGCGAAACGGCGAACUCUAAUACAGUUUGCUAAUGACGGUACCGUAAGAAUAAGCACCGGCUAACUACGUGCCAGCAGCCGCCGUAA
rnacentral:rRNA from 1 species